GACGAACCGUGCGAACGUUGUUCGGAAUCACUGGGCUUAAAGGGCGCGUAGGCGGCAGAUCAAGUCCGGGGUGAAAGCCUCCAGCUCAACUGGAGAAGUGCCUUGGAUACUGAUUUGCUCGAGGGAGGUAGGGGUCGAGGGAACUUCUGGUGGAGCGGUGAAAUGCGUUGAUAUCAGAAGGAACGCCGGUGGCGAAAGCGCUCGACUGGAUCUCUUCUGACGCUGAGGCGCGAAAGCUAGGGGAGCAAACGGG
rnacentral:rRNA from 1 species